rnacentral:rRNA from 1 species
AUGAAUCUGUUAGCCUGGAACUGUCGCGGUUUGGGGUUGGACCCGACAGUUGGCGAACUUCGUGACCUGAUACGGUCUUACAACCCAGCGGUGGUUUUUCUAUGUGAGACUAAGAAAAAGGCAAGGGCGAUGGAGCGUUUGAAAUGGAGUCUCGGUUUCAGACAAGGGGUGACGGUGGACUGUAAUGGAAAAAGCGGAGGUCUAGCUCUGUGGUGGAGGGAC